rnacentral:rRNA from 1 species
UGGGUGGGGAAGUAACAGCCGGAAACGGCUGCUAAUACCGCAUAAUGCAGCGGCUCGACAUCGAGACAGUUGUUAAAGCGGGGGAUCGCAAGACCUCGCGCCUGAAGAGAAGCCUGCGGCAGAUUAGCUAGUUGGUAGGGUAAUGGCCUACCAAGGCGACGAUCUGUAGCCGGCCUGAGAGGGCGGUCGGCCACACUGACACUGAAUAACGGGUCAG